AUUGAACGCUGGCGGCAUGCCUUACACAUGCAAGUCGAACGGCAGCGGACCUUCGGGUGCCGGCGAGUGGCGAACGGGUGAGUAAUAUAUCGGAACGUACCUUUCAGUGGGGGAUAACGUAGCGAAAGUUACGCUAAUACCGCAUAUUCUGUGAGCAGGAAAGCAGGGGAUCGCAAGACCUUGCGCUGAUUGAGCGGCCGAUAUCAGAUUAGCUAGUUGGUGAGGUAAAGGCUCACCAAGGCGACGAUCUGUAGCGGGUCUGAGAGGAUGAUCCGCCACACUGGAACUGAGACACGGUCCAGACUCCUACGGGAGGCAGCAGUGGGGAAUUUUGGACAAUGGGCGCAAGCCUGAUCCAGCAAUGCCGCGUGUGUGAAGAAGGCCUGCGGGUUGUAAAGCACUUUCAGUGGGGAAGAACAGAUUCGGGUCAAUACCCGGAGCCCUGACGUUACCCACAGAAGAAGCACCGGCUAACUCCGUGCCA
rnacentral:rRNA from 1 species